CUACGGUAGGCAGCAGUGGGGAAUAUUGGACAAUGGGCGAAAGCCUGAUCCAGCAAUGCCGUGUGUGUGAAGAAGGCCUGCGGGUUGUAAAGCACUUUAAGUUGGGAAGAAAAGCGGGUGGUUAAUACCCAUCCGUGUUGACGUUACCGACAGAAUAAGCACCGGCUAACUCUGUGCCAGCAGCCGCGGUAAUACAGAGGGUGCAAGCGUUAAUCGGAAUUACUGGGCGUAAAGGGUGCGUAGGCGGUCUCUUAAGUCGGAUGUGAAAUCCUUGGGCUCAACCUAAGAAUUGCAUACGAUACUGAAAGACUUGAGUACAGUAGAGGAUAGUGGAAUUCCACGUGUAGCGGUGAAAUGCGUAGAUAUGUGGAGGAACACCAGUGGCGAAGGCGGCUAUCUGGACUGAUACUGACGCUGAGGCACGAAAGCGUGGGGAGCAAACAGGAUUAGAUACCCGUGUAGUCG
rnacentral:rRNA from 1 species